rnacentral:rRNA from 1 species
AGCGAACGCUGGCGGCAGGCUUAACACAUGCAAGUCGAGCGGGCAUCCUUGUGGUGUCAGCGGCAGACGGGUGAGUAACGCGUGGGAACGUGCCCUUCGGUUCGGAAUAACUCAGGGAAACUUGAGCUAAUACCGGAUACGUGCGAGAGCAGAAAGGUUUAUCUGCCGAAGGAUCGGCCCGCGUCUGAUUAGCUAGUUGGUGAGGUUAUGGCUCACCAAGGCGACGAUCAGUAGCUGGUCUGAGAGGAUGAUCAGCCACACUGGGACUGAGACACGGCCCAGACUCCUACGGGAGGCAGCAGUGGGGAAUAUUGGACAAUGGGGGCAACCCUGAUCCAGCCAUGCCGCGUGAGUGAUGACGGCAUUAGGGUUGUAAAGCUCUUUUCUCCGGGACGAUAAUGACGGUACCGGAGGAAUAAGCCCCGGCUAACUUCGU